GGCUCACACCAAAAAUACCAGCACUUUGGGAGGUUGAGGCAGGAGAAUUGCUUGAGCCAGGAGUUCUAAGACUAGCCUGGGGAAUAUAGCAGACACUAUCUCUACAAAAUA